AAUUCUCAACCUUAUCAGUUUUCUGUAUAAGGCUUGGAUGUGGGGGUCUGCAGGUCCACUACCGUGGUCUGCUCCUCUAAAAUGUAUUAGCUGGGUUCAGUUACCUUGUCUAUUGGUGUGAUAAUUAUCUACAUCAUUGGCAGUUUAGCUUAUAGACCUGCUUCUAACCGUCCUUUGGACAAUACCUUGACAU
rnacentral:misc_RNA from 1 species